rnacentral:rRNA from 1 species
UACGGAGGGGACUAGCGUUGUUCGGAAUUACUGGGCGUAAAAGCGCACGUAGGCGGAUUUGUUAGUCAGGGGUGAAAUCCCGAGGCUCAACCUCGGAACUGCCUUUGAUACUGCAAAUCUCGAGUCCGGAAGAGGUGAGUGGAAUUCCUAGUGUAGAGGUGAAAUUCGUAGAUAUUAGGAAGAACACCAGUGGCGAAGGCGGCUCACUGGUCCGGUACUGACGCUGAGGUGCGAAAGCGUGGGGAGCAAACAGG